UAGGGUUAACCUGCGGAGGGAUCAUUACACAAAUAUGAAGGCGGGCUGGAACCUCUCGGGGUUACAGCCUUGCUGAAUUAUUCACCCUUGUCUUUUGCGUACUUCUUGUUUCCUUGGUGGGUUCGCCCACCACUAGGACAAACAUAAACCUUUUGUAAUUGCAAUCAGCGUCAGUAACAAAUUAAUAAUUACAACUUUCAACAACGGAUCUCUUGGUUCUGGCAUCGAUGAAGAACGCAGCGAAAUGCGAUAAGUAGUGUGAAUUGCAGAAUUCAGUGAAUCAUCGAAUCUUUGAACGCACAUUGCGCCCUUUGGUAUUCCAAAGGGCAUGCCUGUUCGAGCGUCAUUUGUACCCUCAAGCUUUGCUUGGUGUUGGGCGUCUUGUCUCUAGCUUUGCUGGAGACUCGCCUUAAAGUAAUUGGCAGCCGGCCUACUGGUUUCGGAGCGCAGCACAAGUCGCACUCUCUAUCAGCAAAGGUCUAGCAUCCAUUAAGCCUUUUUUUCAACUUUUGACCUCGGAUCAGGUAGGGAUACCCGCUGAACUUAAGCAUAUCAAAAAGCCG
rnacentral:rRNA from 1 species